ACUUUUUCCUCUAACACAGCCGACUACCGAUUCCCAUUAUUUCUUUGGAACCGCAAACCCUAAAUGUAAGAAAAAAUUUCGGAGAAGAUGAAUUCGGAUGAGUUUGAAAACAAAAUCCUUGCAUCAAAAAAGUCGAUUGGUAGCGGUAGAAAAAUCCAUUGUAGAUGUGAGCCCGUUGUUGAUGUUUAUUCAGUGAAGUUGAAUACGAAUUCUUCUGAAUCAUGCGAUGUUUAUGGCGAUAUCAACUUGUUUGACAUGAAAGGCGAUAGCAAUACCUGUAUGCUAUAUCGACGUCAGGCAAACCAACCACAGGUUAUACCUCCUAAUCAUGGCUACUUAAGGCUACAAGGUCCUCGCAAAGUGCCGCCGUUGGACAAACCUUUCAUUGCCAUGGAUAUCAGGGAGAAGACUACUGGAAAAUCGAUUGUAGAGGGGUCGACGCGUUUGAUCAAGUCCAUUGAUAAUGAUGAUGAUGUUUUCGAACAAUUUGGCAAAGUUUCAAUUUCCAGUGACGGCUCUGGUGCCUCUGCUACGGUUGAUUAUUUAGCGCUAAGAUAUGCCGUGUUUGCUGCAGUUAGGAUUGACCUCCUUGAUAGCAAUGCAGAUGAAGUGUACGACAAACCGGAAGAUGAUGAUGAUGAUGAAGAUGAAGAAGACAAAGAUGAAGAGGAAGUAUUGGAGGUAUAUGGCAAAGUCACUGCUAAUUUUAGUCUGUAUAGUACUGAAGAAGUUUAUCGGGUUAGUCUUUUCGACUGUUCUGAUGAAUCAAAUAUGAUGGAAUUGGUCGUGUUGGGUACUGAUCUCUCUUUGAGUAGAUCUUUGCUGGUUGUGCCACCGUAUUCCCCUCUUGUGAUUGAAGUAGACUUAACGGAUGCUGCCAAUGAUGACGCCUUAAUCGUUAAUGACUCUGUCUCGUUCGAACCCGAUAACCUUGGUUACAAUCAGAAAUUUAUUAAGGGAUCAAAUGGUGUUGAUGUCUGAGUUACUGUCAAGUGGAUGGAACCAUCUAAGCUAAUAUUCUAUCCCACCGAUAAGCUUGUCCCCGUAACAAAUCCCUUGGUAAAAAUUCUGAAGAUUGAACAAUCCAAAAACCCAGACUGUACUUGAUGCUGCUACUCAUGGAAGAAAAGCAGCGGUAGUUAUGUCUGCUUGAAGAAGGUGUAGUAAUGUCUGUGAGGCGUCUUCAAAGAGGCCUUCAGUUCUCAAUUUCAGAGGUGCUGAGCUCGAUGGAUUGUACGGUGCUGCUGGUACCGUUGAAAUGGUUGAGGGUUUAUUGACGCUCAAGCCAAUUAACUUCUCCUUCCUCCAAACCCCUGCUUCCCUACUCUGCAACUUUCCCUUAAACCCUAGUAAAACUCGGAACAAUCCUCUGAUUUACACUUUUUUGAUUUUCAACCGGGUAUUGUAAUUCUUGUUGGAGUGAUUGUUGCCCUUUCGUCAUUGUUGCAUUUGUGGAUAAGUUGACCGGAAGGACCGGAGAGUUUGGACUUGUGGCGGUUGAUAUCCUUGAUUCACAAUAUCUUCUAUCACAUACCACUUUUGCUAAUGUCUCUUUUUCUCAGAGCAUAUUCUUUUUGUCUGUUGUGAGUUGUGACUCUUGUAUUAUUAUGCAGUAAACGAAGCCUAUCUUCUUCGGAUUACUGGUUACUUGUCAGUUUGAAUGAGCUUUUCUCAUUAGACAACCUCUUCGAAGAGUUUCAAUCUUCUAGAUACUUAAAAGGACGAUGUGUAAUUCUUUUUAUAUUUUAUUUGCAGCCUUUGCUGGAAAAUACCGAGGAGAAGCUUUCACAAUUUUUCCAUGCUCCGGCAGAAAUUCUUAAUGUUCACGAUGUUCCAAAUAUUUGGCAUGUUCCACUUUUACUACAGGUGGGUUUAUUCUUCAUGUCAAAGAAAUGUCAAACUGGUUUCACAUGCUCUCUUUUAUUCCGAACAAAAACAAUCUGUCUUGGGAAAUGCUGCUGCACUGCUUGCAUGGCAACUCAUAGUGACAUUUUGGUUUGUGUUCUAUAUUACAUAAUCAAAAGGCCCACUUGGCUAUAAUGAGACAGUUAUGUUUGCUCAAGUAAGAUUUUCUUUCUCAUGCCCUUGCUAUUUGUAUAUGUAUUUGACCUAGCUACAAGAUAUAUCAUGUCGAUUUUGGCUCAUUUGGGCACCCCUCUUAUGGACUGGUCCGUGAUACUUUUCCUGAAGGCAUAGAUAAGUAUCAUGAACUUAUAUUGUCCUGUGACAUCUGUCAUAAAGCUCUCUUGGUUUACCUAAGAACAAGAUAUAAAGCUUAUGUGGAAUCAAGAGAUUGGCUUCUGGUGAGAUUCUUUAUAGCUAACCAGAUUCAAUUUAUUUCAGUGUUGCUGCACCUCCCGACUUGGAAGAGUGGACAAACAGGCGGAUUCAAUUUCCAGAACUGAAAAAAUCAAAUAUUAACCAGUGAGCCUCUGAGGCUAAUUACUAUGGAAUAUUACCUUCAAGCAUCCUGCUGUUCAAAGAUAUUCUUGUUCUAUCCGGAAGACAGAAGGAUACUAGAAGAGGGUGUUAGCAUCAAUCCCAUUAAUAGAAUCUGUUGGUGAUGCGCUUAACUUGGUGAUGAAAUCUCAGAAUUUUGCUUGUAGAGUUGUCUCUCCUUCCGGGGAAAGUUCCAGUUGCAAUCAGGUUUCUGGGUUUGAGUCCAAAUGUUCUAUUAAGUAUCCUGUUAAAGAUUCGAGGCCUAUGAUUCAAGAAGCUCAUUGGGUCACGCAGCUUUCAGGUUAGAGCAAGGCACGGAUGAUGGACAACUAAAUAACCAGUUAGCUUCUCAGUCAGCAAUCAGUUUUUGUCCUAACCCUCCAAACGGUUUUCACUCUGCCAACCAGUCUAUAGAGGCCAAAGACACCGUCAGUCCGUCACUGAAGCAAGUGAAUGCCACAGUAUAGCGUUGAGAAAUCGAGUGAAAGUGGAGAGAACAAUCAAUCCUUUUGACUUUGUUGAGAGGAGGAAAGUGAGUAGCACUUACAGAUGCAGCACAGGCAGUGAUGUUAACGAUGUUAGAUGGAUUGCUAUUCGCAAAGCUCAAUCUAAUUAUGGGCUACUGCAGUUCACCCAUUUCAGACUGCUGAACCAUUUGGGAUGUGGAGACGUAGGGAAGGUGUAUCUAUCUGAAUUCGUUGGGACCAAAACUCAUUUCGCAAUGAAGGUCAUGAACAAAGCAGCUUUAGAGAGCCGAAAGAAACUUUUGAGGGCUCAAACGGAGAGAGAGAUUCUUCAAUCUCUAGAUCAUCCAUUCUUGCCCACAUUGUAUACACAUUUUGAAACAGAGAAUUAUUCUUGUUUGGUGAUGGAGUUCUGCCCUGGAGGUGGUCUGCAUUCACUUAGGCAGAGACAACCUCAUAAAUGCUUCACUGAGCAUGCUGCAAGAUAGAACAAUAUAAUGAAGCGGUUAUUUAUGCUUUGAGCUCAUACGAUGACGGGGUUGAAAUUCUGGUUAUGAUUUUAGCCAAGCUGGAAGAAGUGUCAGAUCAAGAGAAAGGAAGUGGCUGAUUGUGUUGAUGUCGAACCCGAUAAUUUACAAAGUAAAAUUCACGAGAUAGAUAAUAAAGGACAUGGUGAUGUUACUCCACCCUCAUAUGAUGGUACUCAUCAUAGCCUGAAGAAUCAAAUAUUUGAAGGUGAAGCAAGAUCACUGACUACCUCCUUAGAUAAGCAGCCUGAUCGUCAGUCAAAAGAGCAACAGUGCCAUGAACAACAUAAGGUAAAACUAGGAAAUUUCAGUGGCCAAGAAAGUCUUCUUAAAGAAAAGCCAUCCAAGAUUACAAUAAUUCAAGUCCCUCUUUCCUCGAAAGAUCAGCUCCGUUCGAGGGUAAAACGCCAGUGUCAAGAUAGCACUUGAAUUUGACUUAUCUAUUGCAUGCAUAUCCAAGGAGUGACCAAGCAAAUAGGAGAUCCCAUAUAUCAGCUAGCUUCCAAAGUUGAUGAGUAUGCUCGAGGCGUGAUCACUGAUACAUGAUCAUCUUUGUUUGAAGAACUGGGCCUGCUACUACAUUGGACCUGUUGAUGGUCAUAAUGUAGAUGAUCUUGUCGCUAUACUUAACGAGGUUACGAAUACAAAAACCACAACUUCAGUGCUUAUCCACGUUGUGACAGAAAAAGGAAGAGGAUACUCAUGUCUACUUCAUUGACUCUAGCUUCAGUGCUUAUCCAUGUAGUACUAAAUGGUUUCCUUACAUAUUAUUUGCAAAUUUAACAUUAGUAUAAUACUAGAUUAGCGCCCGUGCGAUGCACGACUGAAAAAAAUCUAUUUUAUGUAAAAAAAUAUAAAUAAUAAUGUGAAGUAAUAAACAUUUUACAUUAAUUUUA